AUUGAAAAUUAUUCAAUCAUAUUUCAUUCACACCCACAAGAAAAGAAAAGAGAAAAAGAAGAAGAAAAGAAACACUAUACAAAAAUGGCUUCAUCAUGCAAAAGUUUCUUGAUUCUGUUCUUGUGUGUGACGGUUAUCUUACACCCAAGUAUUACAGAAACUGUGGAAGCUGACGAUUCACAAAGACAUGGUUUUUUCGUUAUUGGUUCUUGCUCAAAAAUUCAUGACUGUAAUAAAAAAUGCAUUGAAAUGCAUUUCCCAAGCGGAAGAUGUCUUAAAGAGACCCCCCACGCCACUGAGUUAUCAUGUGGUUGCUAUGUAUAAUUAACAACGCUAUCAAAAUAUUGGAUUGUGAAAAUGUUAAAGUCUUUUCAAAUAAUAAUAAUGAUGUUAUUAAUUUUU